ACGGGGUGCAGCAGGCGCGAAACCUUUACAAUGCAGGAAACUGUGAUAAGGGAACCCAAAGUGCUUAUCUUUGAUAGGCUUUUGCCGUAUGUAAAUAGUACGGAGAAUAAGCGAUAGGAAAGACUGGUGCCAGCCGCCGCGGUAACACCAGCGUCGCAAGUGGCGAUCCUUUUUAUUUGGCCUAAAGCGUCCGUAGCUGGUUUUGUAAAUCUUUUGUGAAAUUGUUCAGCUUAACUGAACAACGCGCAGGAGAGACUGCAUGACUAGGGACCGGGAGGAGUCAGAGAUAUAUCGGGGGGAGCGGUAAAAUGCUAUAAUCCCCGAUAGAUCACCUGUGGCGAAGGCGUCUGACUAGAACGGGUCCGACAGUGAGGGACGAAAGCCAGGGGAGCAAACCGGAUUAGAUACCCGAGUAGUCCUGGCCGUAAACGCUGUGAGUUAGGUGUUGCGCAAUCUCCGUGAUUGCGCAGUGUCGAAGCGAAGGUGUUAAACUCACCGCCUGGGAAGUAUGGUC
rnacentral:rRNA from 1 species